GUUUUCUGGUGUGUGUGUUUGUUAAGUGGAAAGAAGGAAUUCCAUAACAAAUUUACUUAACUCUGUUAAGCAGAAACAUCUGCUAGCAUACCAGGGUUGUGAAUGCCUUCCAGGAAGCUCUGAAGUUCUAAAGCUUGUUGGAGAUAAGGGAGAAAUUCCAGACCAGAAAUUUCAGUGUACUACGUCUAUUUUUUCAAAGCUCAAAAGCAACAAUUUUUAAACACUGGAUCUCUUCAAAAGUACUACUAAAUUCCAGAAUACAAGAUUUUAAACACUAUAACAAAAAGUAAAGUAAUGACUGCAGUUGGGCUUAUAAGAAUUCACUUUUUCCUGAGCUUCUGAUUGAUGCCAAUUUUGGUCCAUCAGUUUUCUUGGAGAGUGUGUACAUAACAUAUUAAAAGCUUAAAAAUUGAUCCAAUGAGGAAUGUAACUCAGUAAAAGCAGGGAAUUAGUCUGUGAUCUCAGUGCCAAGAGAAGCGUCAUCUCCAGGAAGUUCCCUAGCUUCCUGUUUGGUAUCUCUAAUGACAGUAGGGUGAAAAUGAUCGGAACACUUUCUAUGCAGAACAACGCCAAUCUAGCACAGGUGUCUCCAGCCUUUUCCUGAAAGCUUGAGAUGAAGUGAAGAUCUGCAUGCAGGUGUACUAAGGUGCCAGACAGUCAGUCAAAGGAGCAUUACUGGAAUGGACUUAAAGACGUCAAGACACAAUGAUAAAGGCAAGAGGAGAGUAACUUAUUUAUCUAAACCUCACAUAAAUUUAUCCUUUAGAUAAAUAAGAGUAACUUCUUUAUCUAAGACCAGUUCAGUUCUCUAUGGAGCCUGUGCUAUCUCAUAAAUAAGAGUAACUGGCCGGGCACCGUGGCUCACGCCUGUAAUCCCAGUACUUUGGGAGGCCAAGGCGGGUGGGUCACGAGGUCAGGAGAUCGAGACCAUCCUGGCUAACACGGUGAAACCCCGUCUCUACUAAA
rnacentral:lncRNA from 1 species